AGGGAUUUCAACCCUAGUCAAUUUCAUCUCUAAUCACCACCACCAGGUCUACCACGAAGAAUUAUCGAUCUUGAUAGAAAACGACCAGUUAGUGUGUGAUUUUGGAAGCAGAAGCUCAUCUGACUAUCUAAUUAGUACUAGAGUACUCGAUUGAGGAAAUCCAAUUUCCACUGCGAGGAUACCAGUGCACACAUCGAUUUAUGCCACCAAGUUGUGAUUCAUAAGUGCUUCCCUUAGGUAUGCUAUCCACUACCACUAACCAGUUCAUAUCUUAUACUCCAUUGACAACAAUAUCCUGAUAUUUCCAGUAGACUGAAGUUUUUGA